GGAUUAGCAUGCAAGUCGCACGAGAAAGCCGGCUUCGGCCGGUUAGUAGAGUGGCGAAAGGGUGAGUAAUGUAUGGACAACUUACCCCGAGCACGGGGACAACAGCUGGAAACGGCUGCUAAUACCCGAUGUGGUUACGGUUCCGCAUGGACUGUGACCAAAGGGUGGGGAUCCUUCGGGACCUUCCGGCUUGGGAGAGGUUCAUAUCCUAUCAGCUAGUUGGUGGGGUCAAGGCCCACCAAGGCUAAGACGGGUACGAGGCCUGAGAGGGUGUUCUCGCACACUGGGACUGAGACACUGCCCAGACUCCUACGGGAGGCUGCAGUCGAGAAUCUUUGGCAAUGGGCGAAAGCCUGACCAAGCGACGCCGCGUGGAGGAGGAAGGCCUUCGGGUUGUAAACUCCUGUCAGGGGUUAUGAAAGUCCGGCGAUUAACAGUCGACGGAUUUGACAAAAGCCCCAGAGGAAGCACCGGCUAAAUCCGUGCCAGCAGCCGCGGUAAUACGGAUGGUGCAAACGUUGUUCGGAAUCACUGGGCAUAAAGCGCGUGUAGGCGGCUUCGGAAGUCAGGUGUGAAAUCCUCCGGCCCACCCGGAGAAUUGCGCCUGAAACCUGCCCUGGCUUGAGUGACGAA
rnacentral:rRNA from 1 species